rnacentral:lncRNA from 1 species
AAAACUGAGGGAAAAAUGUGGAAAAAAUGGGGGAAAAAUGGGAAAAAAUGAGGGGAAAAAUGGGGAAAAAAUGGAAAAAAAUGGGGAAAAAAUGGGGGGAAAAAAGGGGAAAAAAAAUAGAAAAAAAUUGGAAAAAUGGGAAAAAAAUGGGAAAAACUGAGGGAAAAAUGGGGAAAAAAAUGGGGAAAACUGAGGGAAAAAUGGGGAAAAAAAUGGGGAAAACUGAGGGAAAAAUGGGGAAAAAAAUGGGAGAAAAUGGGGAAAAAAAGGGAGAAAAUGGGAAAAAAUGGGAAGAAAAAUGGGGAAAAAUGGGGAAAAAUAGGAAAAAAUGGGGAAAAAAUGGAAAAACUGAGGGAAAAAUUAGGGGAGAAGUGAGGAUAAAUUGGGGGAAACUGGGCAAAAAUGGGGAGGGAGAAAUGGGGAAAAACGAGGAUUUUGGGGCCAUUUCUAUGGGUUUUGGGUCAUUCCUGAUUUUGGGUUCAAUCCUGGGAAUUCUGGGGCCAUUUUCAGGGAUUUUGGGGCCAUUUUCAGGGAUUUGGGAUCAAUCCCGGGGAUUUUGGGGUCAUUCCCGGGGAUUUUGGGGCCAUUUUGGGGGAUUUUGGGUCAUUCCCAAGGAUUUUGGGGAUUUUGGGUCCAUCCCGGGGAUUCUGGGGCCGUUUUGGGGGAUUUUGGGGCCCUUUUGGGGGAUUUUGGGUCAUUCCCAAGGAUUUUGGGUGAUUUUGGGUCAUUCCCUGGGAUUUCGGGUCCUUUUGGGGGAUUUUGGGUCAUUCCCAAGGAUUUUGGGUGAUUUGGGGUCAUUCUUGUGGAUUCUGGGGCCAUUUUGGGGCCAUUUUGGGGCCAUUUUGGGGCGUUUUGGGGGAUUUUUUCUCCCUGUGGAUUUUUGGGGUGAUUCCUGGCGGUUUUGGGUGCGCAGGUUCAACGGCGCCCCCUACAGGAGCACCUGCCUGCUGCAGCCAACCAGCAGCGCCCUGGUCAACUGCACCGAGUGGGUGAGUGACAGGUGGGGACAGGUGGGACAGGUGGGGACAGGUGAGACAGGUGAGGGACAGGAGGGACAGGUGAGGGACAGGUGAGGGACAGACAGGUAAGAUAAAAAAAUGGAAAAAAAAAAAAUUAAAAAUCCCCCAAAAAAUCUCAAAAAUUCCCUAAAAAAAUCCCCCAAAAUUCCUAAAAAUUCC